rnacentral:rRNA from 1 species
AGCGAACGCUGGCGGCGUGCUUAACACAUGCAAGUCGAACGCGCAGCAUUCUGUAGCAAUACAGGGUGUGGGCGCGUGGCGAACGGGUGCGUAACACGUGGAUAACCUUCCUUCAGGUGGGGAAUAACCCAGUGAAAACUGGGCUAAUACCGCAUAACAUGACGAUGGCACAUGCUGUUGUCUUCAAAGGCGCAAGUCGCCAGAAGAGGGAUCCGCGGCCGAUUAGCUUGUUGGCGAGGUAAUGGCUCACCAAGGCAUUGAUCGGUAGCCGGACUGAGAGGUUGGCCGGCCACACUGGAACUGAGACACGGUCCAGACUCCUACGGGAGGCAGCAGUGGGGAAUCUUGCACAAUGGACGAAAGUCUGAUGCAGCAACGCCGCGUGGGGGAUGAAGCUUCUCGGAGUGUAAACCCCUUUCGACCCGGAAGAAUGCCCGCAAGGGUUUGACGGUACGGGUAUAAGAAGCCCCGGCUAACUACGUGCCAGCAGCCGCGGUAAUACGUAGGGGGCCAGCGUUGCUCGGAAUUACUGGGCGUAAAGGGUCUGUAGGCGGUGCGGCAAGUCGAUAGUGAAAUCCCUAGGCUUAACCUAGGGGCUGCUAGCGAAACUGCC